rnacentral:rRNA from 1 species
UACGUAGGGUGCGAGCGUUGUCCGGAAUUAUUGGGCGUAAAGGGCUCGUAGGCGGUCUGUUGCGUCGGGAGUGAAAACUCAGGGCUUAACCCUGAGCCUGCUUCCGAUACGGGCAGACUAGAGGUAUGCAGGGGAGAACGGAAUUCCUGGUGUAGCGGUGAAAUGCGCAGAUAUCAGGAGGAACACCGGUGGCGAAGGCGGUUCGCUGGGCAGUACCUGACGCUGAGGAGCGAAAGUGUGGGGAGCGAACAGG